UCCCUGGAGGAUUAGUGGUUAGGCCUUGGCACUCACACUGCUGUGGUCUGGGUUUGAUUCCCGGCCACUGGG